GGGCGUAGGACCCUCUGAGCCAGGUGCGGGAUAUAAUCUCGCGGUGCGCCGUUUUUUAAGCCCGUCGGAAAAGCGCAGUAUUCGGGUGGGAGCGAGCCGAUUUUCCAGGUGCCGUCCGUCACCCCUUUCUUUGACUAGGAAAGGGAACUCCCUGACCCCUUGCGCUUCCGGAGUGAGGCAAUGCCUCGCCCUGCUUCGGCUCGCGCACGGUGCACGCACCCACUGACCUGCGCCCACUGUGUGGCACUCCCUAGUGAGAUGAACCCGGUACCUCAGAUGGAAAUGCAGAAAUCACCCGUCUUCUGCGUGGCUCACGCUGGGAGCUGUAGACCGGAGCUGUUCCUAUUCGGCCAUCUUGGCUCCUGGAUCUCUGUGUCAACCUUCUUUUAUUUUUAAAAGAUAUUCACUGUCUCUUACUAAAGCUUCCUGUUCAAAGUCUGGCUGAGAAUUUUUGCUGCUUCUUUCCCUACCUCCUCAUUUCCGAAGGAGGUACCUUUCUGGCUUCUCUGUUGAACAUUUCCUAAAUAAAGUGUGGAUGAAAAGCAAUAGAGGAAGGAAAUGCAGAAAAUUAUAAGGCUGAAAUAGAAACUGGCCACAGCAGAGAUUAAAGAACUAAGGUUAAACCAUGACCACUCCUCGAGGCCUUCCCUGGAGAUUCGGGCUCAUAGAUUCCUUCUUUCUCUGAAUUCUAAAGUACUUAUGGAAGAUUCAGCAGAUAAUUUUUAAUGAAUUAAAUUUUAAUACAUCAAAU
rnacentral:lncRNA from 10 species